CACGGGUGAGUAACACGUAUCCAACCUGCCGUCUACUCUUGGACAGCCUUCUGAAAGGAAGAUUAAUACAAGAUGGCAUCAUGAGUUCACAUGUUCACAUGAUUAAAGGUAUUCCGGUAGACGAUGGGGAUGCGUUCCAUUAGAUAGUAGGCGGGGUAACGGCCCACCUAGUCUUCGAUGGAUAGGGGUUCUGAGAGGAAGGUCCCCACAUUGGAACUGAGACACGGUCCAA
rnacentral:rRNA from 1 species